rnacentral:rRNA from 1 species
AUACGGAGGGUGCGAGCGUUGUUCGGAAUUACUGGGCGUAAAGCGGGUGUAGGCGGUGGAUCAAGUCAGAUGUGAAAGCCCUCGGCUCAACCGAGGAAGUGCAUCUGAAACUGGUUCACUAGAGUACGGGAGAGGAGAGUGGAAUUCCCAGUGUAGAGGUGAAAUUCGUAGAUAUUGGGAGGAACACCGGUGGCGAAGGCGGCUCUCUGGAACGAUACUGACGCUGAGACACGAAAGCGUGGGGAGCAAACAGGAUUAGAUACCCGAGUAGUCC